GAUCCUGGCUCAGGGUGAACGCUGGCGGCGUGCUUAACACAUGCAAGUCGAACGGACUUUACAUGAAGCCUAGCGAUUGUAAAGUUAAGUGGCGGACGGGUGAGUAACGCGUGAAUAACCUGCCCUGUACCGGGGGACGAACAGUUGGAAACGGCUGCUAAUACCGCAUAAGCGCACGGUUCCGCAUGGAACAGUGUGAAAAACUACCGGUGGUACAGGAUGGAUUCGCGUCUGAUUAGCCAGUUGGUGGGGUAACGG
rnacentral:rRNA from 1 species